GAUGAACGCUGGCGGCGUGCCUAAUACAUGCAAGUCGAGCGAACGGACGAGAAGUUUGCUUUUCUGAUGUUAGCGGCGGACGGGUGAGUAACACGUGGAUAACCUACCUAUAAGACUGGGAUAACUUCGGGAAACCGGAGCUAAUACCGGAUAAUAUUUUGAACCGCAUGGUUCAUAAGUGAAAGACGGUCUUGCUGUCACUUAUAGAUGGAUCCGCGCUGCAUUAGCUAGUUGGUAAGGUAACGGCUUACCAAGGCAACGAUGCAUAGCCGACCUGAGAGGGUGAUCGGCCACACUGGAACUGAGACACGGUCCAGACUCCUACGGGAGGCAGCAGUAGGGAAUCUUCCGCAAUGGGCGAAAGCCUGACGGAGCAACGCCGCGUGAGCGAUGAAGGUCUUCGGAUCGUAAAACUCUGUUAUUAGGGAAGAACAUAUGUGUAAGUAACUGUGCACAUCUUGACGGUACCUAAUCAGAAAGCCACGGCUAACUACGUG
rnacentral:rRNA from 1 species